UACGGGGGGGGCAAGCGUUGUUCGGAAUUACUGGGCGUAAAGGGCUGGUAGGCGGCCAACUAAGUCAGCCGUGAAAUCCCCAGGCUCAACCUGGGAACUGCGUCUGAUACUGGAUGGCUUGAAUUCGGGAGAGGGAUGCAGAAUUCCAGGUGUAGCGGUGAAAUGCGUAGAUAUCUGGAGGAAUACCGGUGGCGAAGGCGGCAUCCUGGACCGACAUUGACGCUGAACAGCGAAAGCUAGGGGAGCAAACGGG
rnacentral:rRNA from 1 species